GAGGAGCUUGCUCCUCUGACGUUAGCGGCGGACGGGUGAGUAACACGUGGAUAACCUACCUAUAAGACUGGGAUAACUUCGGGAAACCGGAGCUAAUACCGGAUAAUAUAUUGAACCGCAUGGUUCAAUAGUGAAAGACGGUUUUGCUGUCACUUAUAGAUGGAUCCGCGCCGCAUUAGCUAGUUGGUAAGGUAACGGCUUACCAAGGCAACGAUGCGUAGCCGACCUGAGAGGGUGAUCGGCCACACUGGAACUGAGACACGGUCCAGACUCCUACGGGAGGCAGCAGUAGGGAAUCUUCCGCAAUGGGCGAAGGCCCGACGGAGCAACGCCGCGUGAGUGAUGAAGGUCUUCGGAUCGUAAAACUCUGUUAUUAGGGAAGAA
rnacentral:rRNA from 1 species